CCCACCGAACCUGGCGGGAGGACUGUUACACUCCCUGGUGCGAGUGGACGACCCGGCGCACCCAUCACACUCCGACCACGCUGACCAGGGACUCCACGAACCAUGGACUAGAGGGAGAGUCAGGAGAAGAGAUGAAGAGAGAGACACAAACAAAAGCCUUGCAGCUGGUCCCACUCACCUGGACAGGGGUCUCUGGUGCAGUUGAGCCUCCCACCCUCACAGGUGCUGAAACAAAGAGGAAAUACCAACAUAAUUAUUCUCCUGUCCCUUCUUUCUGGGCUUCAGUGGUCUCCCCUGGUUCCAGCCUGUGUCCAGUGUUGAGGUCCAUGCAGGGACAGUCUUCUCUCUCUACGCACACUGUCCCGUUAGCAGACAGGACCUUUCCCUCUGUACAGUAGCACCCCGGCUCACAUUGCC